AUUUCUAUCAUGACGAGAAGGACCCUUGUUUGGAAACAAUAUACACUGAUUUGGGAUUAGAUCAUUGCUUCGUUGUUCUUUAUCGCCAGAGCUCUGCAACGAAAUCAAAAAUAGGUUUAGUUAUUCAUCAUGUUUUAGCUCGAUUGUUCUUUUCAAAUAUCUUUGAUUUCUCUCCUAAUGUCUUGUUCUUCUCGAUCUAAUUAUUCUCUGAAAUCCUAGAAAUGAGAGAUGGCACCAGAUCGGUGGUAAGGUUUAUGUCUACAUCAGAUAUAAAGCAGGAGAUUCAGAACUCUGUACGGGAGAUUCAGUGUUCAUUUGAGAUUGAUAUCAAGAGCUUUGGAUCUUCUUUUGAGGAAGAUAGUUAGAUGUGAUUUUCUACUUAAAGGAUCUGCUGAUCAAGAGUUCUUAACUUUAAGGUUAAGGAGUUAGUUAGCGGUGCUGUCGACUCAUAUACACUAGAGAUCAAAUGCUUUCAGUGGAAAAACAUACUUAAAAGGUUGUUGUUUCGUCUAAAUGCACCAACUCCUAACAUUUGCAUCAUAAGUUUCUCAAGGCUUAUCAGUCAGACGCGAAGUUGAUAUGACUUUGUGAUCAUGUCGACAAUAUUAUGGAGAAGACCACAUGGAAGAGAUUGAAACAGAUCACAUUUUAAUCUGACAAGGAGGGUUCAUAACGGUUUCUCAAUAGCCAAAGAUUCGCUAUGACUAAGAAUCAACAGGUUAGUAAUUUAUUAAUAUAGCUUGUUAAUGAAUAGGGAAAUCGAUGUCAAUCAAUAAGUUUGGUAAUUCGAAUCUACUCUUUUGAUGCGACUAGGAAUGAGUUCAGUCUCGAAACCAAGUCUAUUGUUGUUGCUGCGUUGGCUACUAGGAGUUUGGAAGUUGAAGUUAAAGUCACCAAAGCUCAGAUUUGGGACACCUCUAGUCAAGAAAGGUACUUUUCGAGGGAGCUUAAAAAAGUGGAGAAGAACAAUGAAAAAGUUUUGUAGAUCGACGAUUUUUUGGAUUUUUUGAUUUUAAUAGCAUGCUUGUUAGCAUGGUGCUUACGUGGAGGAUUCAAGUUGUAUAUGGUGUUCAAACUGACGCAUCUUGUCUUGUUUUUGAAUUUUUUGUAAUAGUGUACUUGUACAACAGUGUAAAUUAAGAUUUUUAAAAAAUGAAAAAUUAUAUAGUCAUAUGGGUAUUCUUUUUGUAGAUCUCGGAAAGAGCUUUUCGAAUAUAUAAAGUUUGUGAAUUUUGGA